rnacentral:rRNA from 1 species
GGGCCCGCACAAGCGGUGGAGCAUGUGGUUUAAUUCGACGCAACGCGAAGAACCUUACCUGGGUUUGACAUGUGCAGGACCGGUGAUGAAAGUCACCUUCCCUUCGGGGCCUGUGCACAGGUGCUGCAUGGCUGUCGUCAGCUCGUGUCGUGAGAUGUUGGGUUAAGUCCCGCAACGAGCGCAACCCUCGCCCUCUGUUGCUACCGGGUCAUGCCGGGCACUCUGAGGGGACUGCCCCGGUGAACGGGGAGGAAGGUGGGGAUGACGUCAAGUCCUCAUGGCCUUUAUGUCCAGGGCUACACACGUGCUACAAUGGUCAGGACAAUGGGUCGCUCCCUCGCAAGAGGUUGCCAAUCUCAAAAACCUGGCCCUAGUUCGGAUGGUCGGCUGCAACUCGCCGGCCUGAAGCUGGAAUCGCUAGUAAUCGGAGAUCAGCACGCUCCGGUGAAUACGUUCCCGGGCCUU